rnacentral:rRNA from 1 species
AUACGUAGGGAGCAAGCGUUGUCCGGAUUUACUGGGUGUAAAGGGUGCGUAGGCGGCUUUUUAAGUCAGAUGUGAAAUCUAUGGGCUCAACCCAUAAACUGCAUUUGAAACCAGAGAGCUUGAGUGAAGUAGAGGCAGGCGGAAUUCCCUGUGUAGCGGUGAAAUGCGUAGAGAUAGGGAGGAACACCAGUGGCGAAGGCGGCCUGCUGGGCUUUAACUGACGCUGAGGCACGAAAGCGUGGGUAGCAAACAGGAUUAGAUACCCUGGUAGUCCACGCUGUAAACGAUGAUUACUAGGUGUGGGGGGACUGACCCCUUCCGUGCCGGAGUUAACACAAUAAGUAAUCCACCUGGGGAGUACGGCCGCAAGGUUGAAACUCAAAUGAAUUGACGGGG